rnacentral:rRNA from 1 species
GACGAACGCUGGCGGCGUGCUUAACACAUGCAAGUCGAACGGAAAGGCCCUGCUUUUGCGGGGUGCUCGUUUGGCGAACGGGUGAGUAACACGUGAGUAACCUGCCCUUGACUUUGGGAUAACUUUUGGAAACUGGGGCUCAUACCCGAUAGGAGCUCCUGCUGCAUGGUGGGGGUUGGAAAGUUUCGGCGGUUGGGGCUGGAUUCGCGGCUUAUCAGCUUGUUGGUGGGGUAGUGGCUUACCAAGGCUUUGACGGGUAGCCGGCCUGAGAGGGUGACCGGGCACAUUGGGACUGCGAUACGGCGCAGACUGCUACGGGAGGCAGCAGUGGGGAAUAUUGCACAAUAGGCGGAAGCCUGAUGCAGCAACGCCGCGUGCGGGAUGACGGGCUUCGGGUUGUAAACAGCUGUCGCAUGUGACGAAGCGUGAGUGACGGUAAUGGGUAAAGAAGCACCGGCUAACUACGUG